GAGUUUGAUCCUGGCUCAGAGUGAACGCUGGCGGCGUGCCUAAUACAUGCAAGUCGAACGGAGAUUAAAGUAAGCUUGCUUAUUUUAAUCUUAGUGGCGCACGGGUGAGUAAUGUAUAGCUAAUCUGCCCUACACUAGAGGACAACAGUUGGAAACGACUGCUAAUACUCUAUACUCCUUCUUUACAUAAGUUAAGUCGGGAAAGUUUUUCGGUGUAGGAUGAGGCUAUAUCGUAUCAGCUAGUUGGUGAGGUAACGGCUCACCAAGGCUAUGACGCGUAACUGGUCUGAGAGGAUGAUCAGUCACACUGGAACUGAGACACGGUCCAGACUCCUACGGGAGGCAGCAGUAGGGAAUAUUGCUCAAUGGGGGAAACCCUGAAGCAGCAACGCCGCGUGGAGGAUGACACUUUUCGGAGCGUAAACUCCUUUUCUUGGGAAAGAAUUAUGACG
rnacentral:rRNA from 1 species